rnacentral:rRNA from 1 species
ACACAUAAGAGGUCCAGCCUGCCAGUGACUCUGUUCAACGGCCGCGGUAUCCUAACCGUGCGAAGGUAGCGUAAUCACUUGUUCUUUAAAUGAGGACUAGUAUGAAUGGCAUCACGAAGGUUAUGCUGUCUCCUUUUUCUAAUCAGUGAAACUAAUCUUCCCGUGAAGAAGCGGGAAUAAUAAUAUAAGACGAGAAGACCCUAUGGAGCUUUAAACAGAUAUACAAUUGCCUCCAAUACAAAAAAAUUUCAGAAAAUAAAUAUUCACCCAGGCAUUUUGAUAUAAAGUUUUCGGUUGGGGUGACCACGGAGCAAAAAAUAACCUCCGCAAUGAAAGGGAAUUUUACCCUAAACCCAGGGCUACAACCCUAAGUAUCAAUAAUUUGACACUAAUUGACCCAAUACACUUGAUCAAUGAACCAAGUUACCCUAGGGAUAACAGCGCAAUCCAUUUCAAGAGCUCCUAUCGACAAAUGGGUUUACGACCUCGAUGUUGGAUCAGGGUAUCCCAGUGGUGCAGCCGCUACUAACGGUUCGUUUGUUCAACGAUUAA